rnacentral:rRNA from 1 species
AGAGUUUGAUCAUGGCUCAGAACGAACGCUGGCGGCAGGCUUAACACAUGCAAGUCGAGCGCGUAGCAAUACGAGCGGCAGACGGGUGAGUAACGCGUGGGAAUCUACCCAUCUCUACGGAACAACUCCGGGAAACUGGAGCUAAUACCGUAUACGUCCUUCGGGAGAAAGAUUUAUCGGAGAUGGAUGAGCCCGCGUUGGAUUAGCUAGUUGGUGGGGUAAUGGCCUACCAAGGCGACGAUCCAUAGCUGGUCUGAGAGGAUGAUCAGCCACACUGGGACUGAGACACGGCCCAGACUCCUACGGGAGGCAGCAGUGGGGAAUAUUGGACAAUGGGCGCAAGCCUGAUCCAGCCAUGCCGCGUGAGUGAUGAAGGCCCUAGGGUUGUAAAGCUCUUUCACCGGUGAAGAUAAUGACGGUAACCGGAGAAGAAGCCCCGGCUAACUUCGUGCCAGCAGCCGCGGUAAUACGAAGGGGGCUAGCGUUGUUCGGAAUUACUGGGCGUAAAGCGCACGUAGGCGGAUACUUAAGUUAGGGGUGAAAUCCCAGAGCUCAACUCUGGAACUGCCUUUAAUACUGGGUAUCUCGAGUCCGAGAGAGGUGAGUGGAAUUCCGAGUGUAGAGGUGAAAUUCGUAGAUAUUCGGAGGAACACCAGUGGCGAAGGCGGCUCACUGGCUCGGUACUGACGCUGAGGUGCGA